rnacentral:ncRNA from 1 species
CCGGUACCUCACACGGCCGGACUGAUACCGGUACCUCAUACGGCCGGUGCAG